rfam:Salinivibrio sp. KP-1 scf7180000001626, whole genome shotgun sequence.
GCAUCACCACCAUCAUCCUGACUAGUCUUUCGGGAGGAAUGGUUUCGACUGGAAGACGAGUAAAAGCGCUUCCGUCGGUCAUUAGCCAGCUAACAGAUUCAGACCCUCGGGAGCACCGUCUUCCGAGGGUUUUUUCUU